rnacentral:lncRNA from 1 species
GGCGGUUCUGGGGGCGUGCGAGGUGGUCGAUCGCACAGGGCCCCGAAAAAAUAGGGGCCCCAAAAAUAUAGAUCCAUAUAUAUAUUAUGUAUAUAUUACAUAAAACCUAUAGAAUCAUUAAAUCGUGUAAGGUAGCGCAGUGGGGAAAGGUCAUUUUCUAGACUUUGUUGAUUUGUGAUUGAAUCCUACUUGUAGCAAAUUUUUGCGAUUUUUUUUUCAGCUUCUUUUUUUCUUUAGCGAAUUUUCAUUUCCAAUUAUUUUUGCGAUUUAUUUAUCAUGGCAGCACGAGGCACACUAUUAUUUUUUGAAACUUUUUUUUUUUCAGCUUCUUUUUUUUUUUAGCGAUUUUUCAUUUCUAAAGAUUAACAGCAAGGUAAUUUCUUUAAAAAUUUAAGUAGAUCAACACUUUGUUAGUGAAUGACAUAAUUUUUUAUUUAUUAAGUGAAUUCGUGGGACGGAGAAAGUAUUGUUUAAUCAAAUAUUUUUCUUUCAUCUUAU